rnacentral:lncRNA from 1 species
AGUUACUGCCACCCUCUCCCAGGGAGCCCUACGUUGUGGAAGGAAGACAACAGUAUAGGACCAUCAGCAGGACCGGACAGAGAGGGGCACCCCUGGCUGUCCUGGAACUUGUAGACCAGGCUGGCCUUGAACUCAGAAAUCCGCCUGCCUCUGACUCCCGAGUGCUGAGAUUAAAGGUGUGCACCACCACACCCGACAAGGAAGCCUGUUUUAAGAAGUGAUUCCAUGGAGGAGUUCUGCGGCGGCUCAGGGCUUGACUAAACAGUGGACCUCAGACAAGAGAGGCUAAACCAGGCUGCAGGUGACAGGAAGAAUUGAAUAAACUGAAAGCAAAGGGCAGCCUUCUAAUUACGCUUCGUGGCUAUGUGGACAACCUGGAGAAGUCUGGAAACAAAGAAGCCAGAAGCCCGAAGCCAGCAGUAGAGCUCUGACUGGCUUGUAUGCCUAGAAAGGAAGGGCUCUUCUUUCGCCUCACGGGCACAAAUGGGACCCACGAGCGCCGAUUUCAGACUAUUCUGAUCCCUUCAAAAAGAAAGUUAGGAGUCCAGGCUACUGUGAGUGAAUUUGAUUCUAAUUGUUUCAGAGAAUAUGGAAUAAAAUAUCUCAUUUGCA